rnacentral:rRNA from 1 species
UACAGAGACUGCAAGCGUUGUUCGGAUUCAUUGGGCGUAAAGGGUCCGUAGGCGGUCGGUUAAGUCGGAUGUGAAAUCUCGUGGCCUAACCACGAGCGGUCAUUCGAAACUAAUCGGCUAGAGGGCUGGAGAGGAGACUGGAAUUGUCGGUGUAGCGGUGAAAUGCGUAGAUAUCUGGAGGAACACCGGUGGCGAAGGCGACGUCCUGGACCGGCAUUGACGCUGAGGCGCGAAAGCCAGGGGAGCAAACGGG